CAGUAGCCGCGGUAAUGCGUAGGGUGCGAGCGUUAAUCGGAAUUACUGGGCGUAAAGCGUGCGCAGGCGGUUGUGUAAGACAGGUGUGAAAUCCCCGGGCUUAACCUGGGAACUGCGCUUGUGACUGCACAGCUAGAGUAUAGCAGAGGGGGGUGGAAUUCCACGUGUAGCAGUGAAAUGCGUAGAGAUGUGGAGGAACACCGAUGGCGAAGGCAGCCCCCUGGGCCAAUACUGACGCUCAUGCACGAAAGCGUGGGGAGCAAACAGGAUUAGAUACCCCCGUAGUCCCUGUCUCUUAUAC
rnacentral:rRNA from 1 species